UGGAGCGUGUGGUUAAUUCGACGCAACGCGAAGAACCUUACAGGGCUUGACAUCCCCUGACCGCGUAUGAAAGUACGUUUUCACCCUCGGGUGACAGGGAGACAGGUUGGUGCAUGGUUGUCGUCAGCUCGUGUCGUGAGAUGUUGGGUUAAGUCCCGCAACGAGCGCAACCCCUACGUUUAGUUGCUAACGCGUGAAGGCGAGCACUCUAGACGAACUGCCGUUGACAAAACGGAGGAAGGUGGGAUGACGUCAAAUCAUCAUGCCCCUUAUGUUCUGGGCUACACACGUGCUACAAUGGCCGGUACAGACGGACGCAAAGCCGCGAGGUGGAGCAAAUCCUAAAAAGCCGGUCUCAGUUCGGAUUGCAGGCUGCAAUUCGCCUGCAUGAAGUCGGAAUCGCUAGUAAUCGCAGGUCAGCAUACUGCGGUGAAUACGUUCCCGGGCCUU
rnacentral:rRNA from 1 species